CUUCAUUUCCUUUUUCCGCACUCACACCUAUUGCUUCUGCACAAGUUUCCACUGAUUUGUGUGAUAAUUCUAAUGUUGAUGUGCUGGUGGGAAAUAUUUCUUCUACUUCUGGAAAUAAUGAAGAUGCUACUAAUUUUAAUGAGCUUGAGAAAGGUUCUUGUAGAGUUUUGACAGAUUCUAAAGCUGUCAUGAAGAAUGGAACUAUGGCUAGCUCUAUAAGGAAGAGUGAGGAACCUAAAGAAGAAAUUUCUAAGCAACCUAAAGGGAUCAAGCUAUUUGGUUUCAAAACAAGAAGAAGGCAUAGAUUAAAAAGGUUGAAGCAAAGGCCAUUACACAUCAUGCCAACAAUCCAAGAAAGUGAGGAGGAAGAGCAAACACUAUCAAUGGGGCUUGUUGGUAAUUCUCUUGAACCUACUGGUUUCCAUACUUGUGAAUCCAUGAUUAUUGACAUUCCUUUUGAGCAUGAAUCUUCCAUAGCUACAAAUGAUAUGAGUGGUGAUAAGUCUAAUCAUGAGCCCUCUUCUUGUGCUAAUGACAUUAAUAGAGAUGCUUUAGAACAUGAUGUGACCGAAACUAAUUCUCUUGAGCAUGAUAUGAUAAAAUCUGAUCCAAUUUCCUUUUCUUUUUUUUCUUCUCCCCUUGUUCAUGUGAGAGUGAUGUGUGUUGCAUUGAUUGCUUGUCAAUUGAUGGCCUCCUUUCCACCUCACAUGCAUUUUAUUUUUACUUUUCUAAUUCUUGUAGUGAUCUUAUUUCUUCUUUUUCUAGUAAUGAUGGUCUUGGGAAAGGCUUGUCUGAUGAUUUUGCAGAAUUAUAUGAAGAGAUUAACACCAGAAUGCAAGCUGGAACUGAGAAAACUCGUGGAGGCAACAAGCUUAACCCUGAACACCAUAAUUGGAGAAUAGAACAUGUGCAGCAAUGCCUAUGGCGUCUUCAAUUGUGCAAUCUGAGGAUUUCCAAGCUUUCUGCUCUAUCAAAGAAGAAAAGCCCAGAUCUGAAACUCAUGAACCUAAGGGCCAUUUUAUUGACUCUAUUAGCAUUAAUCCUUCUUUUACAUGUCAUGAUAGUAAUGAAUGUUUGCAUGAAUAUGAUAUAUCAUUCAUUGAUGAGUUACCUAGUGAAUCUGCACUCAGAAUUGAAAAUUCCUUACAUAGAAAAAACAUUGAUCUGCUUAGGCAUACUAGAGCUAGUCUUGAGUGUUUCACAUUCUUGCCACAUGAUAAUAACCAUGAUCAAGGGUCUUUCUAGCCUAUACUUUAAUGUGACCUCACACCGGACAUUAAGAAAUUGUGUAGUAUUGAAUAUGAUCUCUUUAAAUUUGCUUUUGGUCUAAGUGACUGUGUCUCUAAUCUAAGUUGGAGUCCUAGGCACAUUAAUGAUUCUAUGCAUGAGACCCUCUCAUGUAACUUACCAAGAGAUAUACUUAAACAUAAGCCACUUCAUUUGGUUUAUAUGAUUUCUCUUGAUUGUAUUAAUGCUGUUUCUGGUCUUUUCUGGCAGAAACUUGAUGGCAUUGGAUUCCAAGAGAGCCAACAGCAACCAUAUAUCUUAGGACCGCCUCCAAUUGAUCCUGAACCUCCACCAAAGAAGGAUGGUGAGAAACCCCAAGCCACAUUGCUGAAAUUCAUGAUUCUCAUCCAGGAUGAGAAUUUCUGCUUCAAGAGCCUAAGGAGGUUUCGAUUCUACGGUUGUCCCUUUCCUUCCCCUAAUUUCUUGAUUUACUUGAAAUAUAUUAUAUAUGGAAUUGACUGUUUAACAUAAGUGUGGGGGAGGGGACUGGUCUAGUAGUAAAAGUUUAGUGACAUGGCUUAGGCUUGGCUCAUUUCUCUUGCUCCUAUUUGCUGUGCAAAUUUGGUUUUCCCUAUUCUGUUAUUUCUUUUACAUUGAGGACAAUGUUUGUCUCACGUGUGGGGGGAAUGUGUAAUAUUCUGAUUGCUUUCAUUGCUGUCAUGGAAUUUAAUUGAACCUUGAACACAUUCUUUUGAAUACUGUUAAAGCUUGUUCAGGUUUGAAUUGCUUGUUUAAUCAAUUAAUUCUGGAAAAUGUGCAUCAUGAAUUAAUUUUCUCAUGCAUUAAGUUCAAUCCUCAUGCAAUUUAUCCUUGGUGGGUGGAUGUAGAUGAAUAAACCAGUUGGAAGGAAAUUUUGGGCCUUAAUUUAUUCCUAAAUUGUGUGUGAUGCCAUGUAGUUUGGUAACUUCCUGGAACUUGUCUCAAUCCUUAAUUCAAGACCACAUGAGCUCUUGGAAUUGUGAAGAUGACAAGGGCAUUUCAUCCAAAACCCUUUUGACCCAAGCAGCAGCCUAUACACAUUAAAUCCAUUGCUUAAACCUUUGAACCCUUCACUAUUCUUUCAAUUUCAUCCAUAAUUGAUGAACCCUGCACAUAACUGAAUUGAAUCUGAGUUAGUUGUUUUCCUUUUAAUGGUUGUAUAUUCGUUGAUAAUGAUCUGUGCAUGACUGGGACUGAUUAUGAUCCCUUUUACUCUUGCUACUAGAUUGCUACCAUAUAGAAAAAAUAUAUUUUUGAAAAAAAAAAGAACCAAAAAAAAAAGA